rnacentral:misc_RNA from 1 species
CGAGUCUUUCAGAGGAUACCA